rnacentral:rRNA from 1 species
CAAGGGUUGGGACAUAAUAGAUACUUUUUAGAUACCGGGGUAGUCCACGCCAUAAACGAUGUAAAUUAGUGGCGGGGGAUUCAUUUCCUGAGUAAGGUAGAUAACGCGUGAAGUUGACGGCCGGGGGAGUACGGUCGCAAGAUUAAAACUCAAAGGAAUUGACGGGGACCCGCACAAGCGGUGGAUGAUGUGGAUUAAUUCGAUACAACGCGAAAAACCUUACCUACCCUUCACAUGGU